CCGCCUUUCUCCCUCUUUCUCCUUCCUUCUUUUUCUUCCCUAUCUCGUAGGCGGUUUGUCGCGUCUGCCGUGAAAGUCCGGGGCUCAACUCCGGAUCUGCGGUGGGUACGGGCAGACUAGAGUGAUGUAGGGGAGACUGGAAUUCCUGGUGUAGCGGUGGAAUGCGCAGAUAUCAGGAGGAACACCGAUGGCGAAGGCAGGUCACUGGGCCGCAACUGACGCUGAGGAGCGAAAGCAUGGGGAGCGAACAGGA
rnacentral:rRNA from 1 species